GACGUAGGGCGCGAGCGUUUGUCCGGAUUUAUUGGGCGUAAAGAGCUCGUAGGCGGCUUGUUGCGUCAGCUGUGAAAACCCGCAGCUCAACUGUGGGCUUGCAGCUGAUACGGGCAGGCUUGAGUUCGGGAGGGGAGACUGGAAUUCCGGGUGUAGUGGUGAAAUGCGUAGAGAUCCGGAGGAACACCAGAGGCGAAGGCGGCAUCCUGGGACAUUACUGACGCUGAGACGCGAAAGCAUGGGGAGCGAACGGGG
rnacentral:rRNA from 1 species